UGGGGAAUUUUGGACAAUGGGCGAAAGCCUGAUCCAGCCAUGCCGCGUGCAGGAUGAAGGCCUUCGGGUUGUAAACUGCUUUUGUACGGAACGAAAAGACUCCUUCUAAUAAAGGGGGUCCAUGACGGUACCGUAAGAAUAAGCACCGGCUAACUACGUGCCAGCAGCCGCGGUAAUACGUAGGGUGCAAGCGUUAAUCGGAAUUACUGGGCGUAAAGCGUGAGUAGGUGGUUUCUUAAGUCUGCUGUGAAAGCCCCGGGCUCAACCUGGGAAUUGCAGUGGAUACUGGGGAGCUAGAGUGCGGCAGAGGGGGAUGGAAUUCCGCGUGUAGCAGUGAAAUGCGUAGAUAUGCGGAGGAACACCGAUGGCGAAGGCAAUCCCCUGGGCCUGCACUGACGCUCAUGCACGAAAGCGUGGGGAGCAAACA
rnacentral:rRNA from 1 species